AGAGCCGAAAGCAGACAACCCAUCUGAUAAACCUCCUCCUCCCUGUGAGUCCUGCCCCCUCACGAACAGAGUGGUGGGUAAAGUAACUCCUCAUCCUUCACCCCACCCCGCGGCUACACCUGGAAAAGACUGAUGUGACAGCGACAAUGACAGCGCAGCAGAAGCUGAGAGGCAAUCACCAUGCCAAAGCCUGCCGUUUGGAGUGCACACCGGCUGUGUCUGGGCAGGAGGAGUCAAGCAGAAUGAUGCAGAGGCUUUUUGGAGAUUUAUUCCAGAAACACCACUGUCAAGAGGGUCUCCCUGAAU